rnacentral:rRNA from 1 species
UACGGGGGGGGCAAGCGUUGUUCGGAAUUACUGGGCGUAAAGGGCUCGUAGGCGGCCAACUAAGUCAGACGUGAAAUCCCCAGGCUCAACCUGGGGGCUGCAUUUGAUACGUUCGGACUAGAGUGGGGAAGAGGGUCGUGGAAUUCCCAGUGUAGAGGUGAAAUUCGUAGAUAUUGGGAAGAACACCGGUGGCGAAGGCGGCGACCUGGUCCUUGACUGACGCUGAGGCGCGAAAGCGUGGGGAGCAAACAGG